rnacentral:rRNA from 1 species
UAAAGAGGUCCCAAGCGUUGUUCGGAUUCACUGGGCGUAAAGGGUGCGUAGGUGGUUGCGCAAGUCUGAUGUGAAAUCUCCGGGCUCAACCCGGAAAUGGCAUUGGAAACUGCGUGGCUAGGGGGUUGGAGGGGGGACUGGAAUACUUGGUGUAGCAGUGAAAUGCGUAGAUAUCAAGUGGAACACCAGUGGCGAAGGCGAGUCCCUGGACAACACCUGACACUGAGGCACGAAAGCUAGGGGAGCAAACAGG